GGCCCUGGGCGGUGACUGGGAGCGCUCCACGUCCGGCCUGAGGGGCUUGAGGCCGAGUAGGGCAUUGUCUUCAGUUCCCAGUGAGGAGCCCCUCAGGUCCCCACGGCCACGAUGCUUCCAGUGAGCAAGCUUUCUCAGGGGUCGAGAAGGACCUGAAAUAAAGUGGCCCCUUGGAGCUGACUCCCAUCUCUCAUCACUCCCAUCCUUGGUUGAGGAGCCUCUGAGCCUGUGAAUCAAAGGCAGGUUAAGAUGAUGGAUGUUGCACACACCAAGUGUUUGCAUUGCAGCUGAGGAACACUGAAUUGUGGAAUCCACCAUUUUUAAAGCAGGUAGUAAGCAAGCCUGGUCUUUUCUCUGGGGAAAAUGUUCCUCAUCUCUCAAGGUUCCCAGCUACAUAACAACCCUGAGAGAGAGUCCAGGUUAAAGAGUAGUCUGGUAUGCAAUCUUGGCACACCCAGCAAGAUAUCAAGAAUGCAAGAAACCCAAGGAGGACUAUCUUUUCCAACAAAAGAAUAUUUAAGAGUGACUUAGAGAC